rnacentral:snoRNA from 1 species
ACGACCACACUUCACAGAAUCUGUUGAUAGUAUGUGUCCAGUUUUGUUUUCACAAACAAGCUACAAUCGCAAACAGAGGAAGAUGAUCUGAACCAUCACUGUCCAUCAGAGUGAGACUUUUUUGAGCUCCCGUCUGGCGUUUAUUCGUCGGAUAGGGCUCUAUCACCGCGGCUCUCGAGCUGCUACGAUGAUCUCUUGCUCAGUUCUUGACUCUUCGGACGAUGUCUGAGUAGGACAGUGAUGCAUUCUGACU